rnacentral:rRNA from 1 species
AGUGAACGCUGGCGGUAGGCCUAACACAUGCAAGUCGAACGGCAGCACAGUAACAGCUUGCUCUUACGGGUGGCGAGUGGCGGACGGGUGAGGAAUACAUCGGAAUCUACUUUUUCGUGGGGGAUAACGUAGGGAAACUUACGCUAAUACCGCAUACGACCUACGGGUGAAAGCAGGGGAUCUUCGGACCUUGCGCGAUUGAAUGAGCCGAUGUCGGAUUAGCUAGUUGGCGGGGUAAAGGCCCACCAAGGCGACGAUCCGUAGCUGGUCUGAGAGGAUGAUCAGCCACACUGGAACUGAGACACGGUCCAGAAUCCUACGGGAGGCAGCAGUGGGGAAUAUUGGACAAUGGGCGCAAGCCUGAUCCAGCCAUACCGCGUGGGUGAAGAAGGCCUUCGGGUUGUAAAGCCCUUUUGUUGGGAAAGAAAAGCAGCAGGUUAAUACCCCGCUGUUCUGACGGUACCCAAAGAAUAAGCACCGGCUAACUUCGUG